UACGAGGGGGGCGAGCGUUGUUCGGAAUUAUUGGGCGUAAAGGGCGCGUAGGCGGUCGGAUAAGUCUUGUGUGAAAUCUUCGGGCUCAACUCGAAGUCUGCACAGGAAGCUAUCUGGCUUGAGUGUGGGAGAGGUGAGUGGAAUUCCUGGUGUAGCGGUGAAAUGCGUAGAUAUCAGGAGGAACACCUGUGGCGAAAGCGGCUCACUGGACCACAACUGACGCUGAGGCGCGAAAGCCAGGGGAGCGAACGGG
rnacentral:rRNA from 1 species